rnacentral:rRNA from 1 species
GUGAGGAAUAUUGCGCAAUGGAGGCAACUCUGACGCAGCCAUGCCGCGUGCAGGAAGAAGGCGCUACGCGUUGUAAACUGCUUUUAACCGGGAAGAAACCCCAGGACGUGUCCUGGGUUGACGGUACCGGAGGAAUAAGCACCGGCUAACUUCGUGCCAGCAGCCGCGGUAAUACGAAGGGUGCAAGCGUUAUCCGGAUUCAUUGGGUUUAAAGGGUGCGUAGGCGGAGCGUUAAGUCAGUGGUGAAAUCCUGCAGCUUAACUGUAGACUUGCCAUUGAUACUGGCGCUCUUGAGUGCGCUUGAAGUGGGCGGAAUGUGCCGUGUAGCGGUGAAAUGCUUAGAUAUGGCACAGAACACCAAUUGCGAAGGCAGCUCACUAAGGCGAUACUGACGCUGAGGCACGAAAGCGUGGGGAUCGAACAGGAUUAGAAACCCCGGUAGUCC